GUCUCCGUUGGUGAACCAGCGGAGGGAUCAUUACCGAGUUAUUACUCCAAACCCUUUGUGAACCUUACCAUUUUGUUGCUCGGCGCACCGCGGGCCGCGGCUUCGGCCCGUCCCGCAGCGCGCCAGAGGACCCAACUCUUCAAUUUAUAGCGUACCUUCUGAUUUACAAAACAAACAAGUUAAAACUUUCAACAACGGAUCUCUUGGUUCUGGCAUCGAUGAAGAACGCAGCGAAAUGCGAUAAGUAAUGUGAAUUGCAGAAUUCAGUGAAUCAUCGAAUCUUUGAACGCACAUUGCGCCCGGCAGUAAUCUGCCGGGCAUGCCUGUCCGAGCGUCAUUUCACCCCUCGAGCCGCUUUUAGUGGAUCGGUGUUGGGGCACUACGGUAAAACGUAGGCCCCGAAAUGAAGUGGCGGUCCCGCCGCGGUGCCCCCAUGCGUAGUAACGUUUAGUCUCGCAUCGGGUCCCGGCGGAGGCCUGCCGUCAAGCCUAUUUAUUCUCAGAAUAGUUUGACCUCGGAUCAGGUAGGGUUACCCGCUGAACUUAAGCAUAUCAAUAAGCGGAGGAAAAGAAACCAACAGGGAUUGCCCUAGUAACGGCGAGUGAAGCGGCAACAGCUCAAAUUUGAAAUCUGGUCCUUCGGGGCCCGAGUUGUAAUUUGCAGAGGAUGCUUUUGGCGCGGUGCCUUCCGAGUGCCCUGGAACGGGACGCCACAGAGGGUGAGAGCCCCGUAUGGUUGGACACCAAGCCUAUGUAAAGCUCCUUCGACGAGUCGAGUAGUUUGGGAAUGCUGCUCAAAAUGGGAGGUAAACCCCUUCUAAAGCUAAAUACUGGCCAGAGACCGAUAGCGCACAAGUAGAGUGAUCGAAAGAUGAAAAGCACUUUGAAAAGAGAGUUAAAAAGCACGUGAAAUUGUUGAAAGGGAAGCGUUUGCGACCAGACUUGCGCCCGUCGAAUCAGCCGUCCCUCGUGGGCGGUGCACUUCGGCGGGCUCAGGCCAGCAUCAGUUUACUGCAGGGGGAGAAAGGCGCUGGGAAUGUGGCUCCUCGGAGUGUUAUAGCCCGGCGCGUAAUACCCCUCGGUGGACUGAGGACCGCGCGAAAGCAAGGAUGCUGGCGUAAUGGUCGUCAGCGACCCGUCUUGAAACACGGACCAAGGAGUCGUCCUAAUAUGCGAGUGUUUGGGUGUCAAACCCCAGCGCGUAAUGAAAGUGAACGGAGGUGAGAGCUUCGGCGCAUCAUCGACCGAUCCUGAUGUUCUCGGAUGGAUUUGAGUAAGAGCAUAUUGGGCCGGACCCGAAAGAAGGUGAACUAUGCCUGUAUAGGGUGAAGCCAGAGGAAACUCUGGUGGAGGCUCGCAGCGGUUCUGACGUGCAAAUCGAUCGUCAAAUAUGGGCAUGGGGGCGAAAGACUAAUCGAACCUUCUAGUAGCUGGUUUCCGCCGAAGUUUCCCUCAGGAUAGCAGUGUUGAAUUCUCAGUUUUAUGAGGUAAAGCGAAUGAUUAGGGACUCGGGGGCGCUAUUUAGCCUUCAUCCAUUCUCAAACUUUAAAUAUGUAAGAAGCCCUUGUUACUUUA
rnacentral:sRNA from 1 species